GCACCACUCAUCUACACAAUUGGGGGGAAAGCGCGAUAGAGGGGAUCCCAAGUGCUUGCACUUCUUUAAAAGCUGUUUCUUUGUUAAAAACGCAAGGGCUGCAAGGGCUGGGUAAAACGGGUGCCAGCCGCCGCGGUAAUACCUGCAGCUCAAGUGGGGACCGCUAUUAUUGGGCCUAAAACGUUCGUAGCCGGUGGAGAAAAUGCUGGGGAAAAUGGGGCCGCUUAACGGCACGUUUCCGGGGAGACUACCCACCUUGGGACCGGGAGAAGUUAGAGGUACUCUUGGGGAAGAGGUGAAAUUCUGUAAUCCUGGGGGGACCACCAGGGGGGAAGGGGGCAAGAAGGAAGGGGCCUAAAGGGGAGGGAAAAAAACCUUGGGGCGCAAACCGGAUAAAAUCCCCGGGUAGUCCCGGGGGCAAAAGGCGCCUUGCUUGAGGUUAGUUGGGUUCCGAGCCCAGCUAGUGCCGGGGGAAAGUUGUAAAGCAAGCUCCUUGGAAAGAACGAUCCCAAAAUUGAAACUUAAGGGAAUUGGGGGGGGUUAAAAGCACCGGGGGGAGCGUGCGGUUUAAUUGGAUUCAACGCCGGAAAAUUCCCGGAAGGCGACGGUUUUUUUAAAGCCCAGGUGGAGGACCUUGCCUGAUUUUCCAAAAGGGGGGCUUGGCCCCCUUUAGUUCUUACCGAAAGGCGUUCUGUUAAUCAAAAAAACAAACAAGCCCCUCUCCUUAAUUGCAACUGAAACCUCCGGUGGCAGACACAUUAAGGACCCCGCCGGGGAAAGGCCGAAGAUGCUAGGGCUACGUUGGUCAGUUGCCCCGAACUUCGGGCUAAAGCCGCGCUAAAGGCCCGGCAAAGGGGCUCCAACCCGAAGGGGCGGUAAUGUCUAAAGCGGGCCAUACUCGAAUGGGGAUUGGAAGUCAUCUCUUGAAAGUGGAGUGCGGAGAUAUCCCCGGUCACCUUCCCCCCGGAGAAAGCCCUUCCUCCUUGCACACACCAAGGGGAAUUGGUUAACCCGCGUGCAUGUGCACUUAUGAGGGUAUUCUCGACGUUGGCAACUGGGCAUUUGUUUACUACGUGAUUCUUCGUGUCUCAAUCUACCAUAUGUAGUGAGCGCAGUCUGGAUUGAUAUGCUC
rnacentral:rRNA from 1 species